UUAAUAUAUAUUAUAUAAUGUCAGGAAAAUAUGUAAAACAACAAGGCUAAAUAUUUACUUUUAAUACUAAAAACACCCCGAGUGUGUGUUUUUGUUAACUAGGUCGGGGCAAGUAACGUUGCAAAUUCCCAGCGCACUUGAAUGCAGCACAACUACCCCCAAAGUGAACUUGCAGAUUAAUCCGGAGAGCCUCGAGGCGCGCGCAACAGUUUGAAUUUCUCUUCAUCUGGCAGAUCAGCUGUGGUGAAGAAGACAUUCCAGACGAAUCCACAGGAGAGUAAGCUAAAUUACAAACCCUGAAGAAGUCCUG